AUUGAACGCUGGCGGCAGGCUUAACACAUGCAAGUCGAGCGGAGAUGAGGUGCUUGCACCUUAUCUUAGCGGCGGACGGGUGAGUAAUGCUUAGGAAUCUGCCUAUUAGUGGGGGACAACAUUCCGAAAGGAAUGCUAAUACCGCAUACGUCCUACGGGAGAAAGCAGGGGAUCUUCGGACCUUGCGCUAAUAGAUGAGCCUAAGUCGGAUUAGCUAGUUGGUGGGGUAAAGGCCUACCAAGGCGACGAUCUGUAGCGGGUCUGAGAGGAUGAGCCGCCACACUGGUACUGAGACACGGCCCAGAAUCCUACGGGAGGCAGCAGUGGGGAAUAUUGGACAAUGGGGGGAACCCUGAUCCAGCCAUGCCGCGUGUGUGAAGAAGGCCUUAUGGUUGUAAAGCACUUUAAGCGAGGAGGAGGCUACUGAGACUAAUACUCUUGGAUAGUGGACGUUACUCGCAGAAUAAGCACCGGCUAACUCUGUGCCAGCCGCCGCGGUAAGAC
rnacentral:rRNA from 1 species